rnacentral:rRNA from 1 species
GACGAACGCUGGCGGCGUGCCUAAUACAUGCAAGUUGAGCGCUGAAGGUUGGUACUUGUACCAACUGGAUGAGCAGCGAACGGGUGAGUAACGCGUGGGGAAUCUGCCUUUGAGCGGGGGACAACAUUUGGAAACGAAUGCUAAUACCGCAUAAAAACUUUAAACACAAGUUUUAAGUUUGAAAGAUGCAAUUGCAUCACUCAAAGAUGAUCCCGCGUUGUAUUAGCUAGUUGGUGAGGUAAAGGCUCACCAAGGCGAUGAUACAUAGCCGACCUGAGAGGGGGGUCGGCCACAUUGGGACUGGGGCACGGCCCAAACUCCUACGGGAGGCAGCAGGAGGGGAUCUUCGGCAAUGGACGGAAGUCUGAACGGGCAACGCCGCGUGAGUGAAGAAGGGUUUCGGAUCGUAAAACUCUGUUGGUAGAGAAGAACGUUGGUGAGAGUGGAAAGCUCAUCAAGUGACGGUAACUACUCAGAAAGGGACGGCUAACUACGUG